AGCCUCCUAAAGUGCUGGGAUUACAGGUGAGAACCACUGCACUCGGCCCCCAUUGUGCCUUUUGAUGCUACUGUUUGAUAAUUCUUGUAUUUGAGGACUGUACUGACAGUGUGGCUUUUCCAACUUCCUGUAUUAGGGUUGAGGGAACUUACUUUUCCCAUUUUCCCCUUUCUUAGUUUGUAGAGCCUCUUGGCUGAUCUGACAGCCGAUGUGGGAUAGCAACAGGUAGAGGUGAGAAAGGACCUGAUUUUCACCUUUCCUGAGAUUAUAUGGAGUGAUGGCUCAAUCCCCAAGUACGAAUUGAAUGUUGACGGUACGGCCAGGAGGCUGGUAAGUACUAGAGGCAUGCAGAGAAAGAAAGGAGGGUACAAAAAGUUUCUAAUACACCUCUCCUUAGUUACUCACUCCACAAGAAGCGGUUGGAGAACAGCAGCAUGACACAAUCCCUCCAGAAGCAGAAGCAGGAGAGGUGGGCGGAAGUGAAGCCAUCCUCUCCCUCUGACCCUGCAGACCCUCGCGCAGCCAUGGGUCAGAAGCAGGAGGCUGCUGAGGGCCUGGCUCAGCUCUGAAGCUGUGCAGCAUGUCCAGGGGGCUUGCCUGGCCUGCCACAGAGCACCAAAGAGUCCUCUUGGGUCCCUUCCAAAGUGUAUUUUGAACCAUUCUGGUUCUCUUCACUGCCACUACCCCCAUUCCAGUCCCAGUCACAGUCAUCUCCAGGACAAUGCACUGGUCUCCUAACAUUCCUCCCUGCAUCUUACCUCCACCUCCCACUCCUCACGUCACCCUCUCGUCUGGAACCCACUCUCUAAAUAGCAGGCAGCAGCAUGGCCUUCCUGAACACAAGUGACUCCAGCAUCACACACAUCACCCUCCCCUGGCUUCCCCUUUUCCUCCUAAAUCCUGUACAAUGGAGCCACCGCUUCCCUUUCUGGCCCAUCCUGCCCCAUCCCCUCUCCCCUGAGCUCUCACCCUUUGGCCACAGUGGCCUUUAUGUGGUCCCUCAAAAUGAAUACUCCUUCCUUCCAGGACCCUUACGCAGACCCUUCAUUCCUAAAUCUCUCGCCCUCCCUUCUCCCUUCCCUCUUUAGUUUGCUGACACCAUCUAUCUCUCCAUCUCUCAGCUUGAGUGUCACCUCAGGGAACUCAGGCUAGUUUCAGCCCCUUUUGUUAUAGGUGCACAUAGCACCUUAUAGGCCCUUAGGGGCACCUAUCACAAUUGUAGCUAAUUAUUUGUAAAAUAUUUGCAUAACAUCCAUUCCCUGCUAGAUGAAAGGGGUUGUGAGAGGACAUCUGGGAACUUCUUAUUUCUUGCAGUGUCUCAAGGGCUUAGUGUGGCCCCUAACACAGUUUCUGGCAUGUAGUGGAAAGCUAGUAUUUAUUGAACAAAUUAUGAAAUGGAGGGACAGUGGGGUGGAUGAUGGACAAAUGGAUGGGUGAAUGGGACUUUCUGAGAUCAGAGUUGGCUGCUGCCUUGCUGGUCAUAGCGGAAGAGAGAACGCCUGUUGAGUUGGUGUCAUCAGGCAAGGUGGGGGCAGGCAGGGGAGGGGGUUGACCAUGGUUACAGCAAGGGCAGUUGAAGGUUGCAGUGUCAUUUCCUGGGAAUCUGAGGUUUGCCUUUCCAAGACUUCCAGGGACACAUGUCUAGAAUCCCAUUUCCAAAAAUAUUUCAAAAAGAAAAAUCCACAUGAGAACUUAAUAGAUCACAGGGAAGGAAGUCAAACUAUGAGCAUACAUUCACGUUGCUGGGAAAGCCAUUUAAAAAUAGGUCACAUUUCUGGGCUUUUGUGGCUGCUUUUGAGCCAUUCUAGCCUGCCGCAGCAACCUAAUUGCCAAACAAUAUGUUGCUUUGCUGUGGGACCAUCUGAAAUUUAAGAAAGCAGACAAGUCUAGCAGUUUCACAAGCCUAUUUUUUUUAAUAAGGCAGACUCCAAAGCCUACUACCCACUAAUUGGUCAUGUAAAUUACUACCUUCUGUAUCAGUUGCAACACAAGGGAAAAUUGAACAUAAUAUUGUUUUCACUCCCUAGGACCUAUUCAGGCAUCUUAGGCCUGUGCUGCCAGUGUUUUUGGUGGGAGGGUUAGGGAGCAGGGCCUGAAUUACUCAGCAACGGGGAAAAGCCCAGUGGAGUCUUCCAAAGAUUAACCUUGGGGACAGGUUCAAGGAUUCAUCCAUGGUUUCCGAGACUCCCUGCCGAGGUCUGGGUCUCUUCUCUGGGUGAGGGAAUGCACUCUGCAUUGGUUUCUCAUUUGAUCACACCAGGGUGUAUGGGCUCCAUUAUGCCAUCACGGUCCAUUCAAAGGCUGGCUGAUGGACGUGAAGAACAGAGGAUGGGAACAUACUAUCUGCAGCCACUCCCUCAGGACUCAUGUGGACAGGGAGAAGCCUAUUCUAGGUUACCGAGAAGGACAGUGUGGCUGGGAGAGGUGCCCUGCUCCAUGUCCCCACAGCAGCCUGCAAGCUCCCAUCCUACGUAGUGCUCAACAGUUCCAGACACGCAGCUCUGUGAACAAAGGGACCCUAUCUCCCUCAUUAGAGCUGUGCCCGCAUGCCUAGCAUAGUGUCCAGCUUCUAGACACCAAUGAAUAGGUGUUUGCUGAUGAAGGGAAAAUACAUGAAGCUUCAUAGAAGUAGAUAUGAGUGCAUAGAAGUGAGCUGAAUGCCAAUCAGAACUUUCUAAUUAUUAGAGCUACCCAGUGAUGGAGUGGAGCUGUCUUGAAAAAUACCAGUUCAGGUAAUCAGUAUAAAUCUGAGUGCCACUGGGGCAGCCCUAAAGCAUUUGACAGCAGGAGACAGCAUCGUAUCAGUGUUGGGUCCUUGGACUCUGGGGUCACACACACCUGGUAUGAGUCCUGGAUCUGCUGCUUAUGAUUUCAAGGCAUUUUGCCUCAAAGUCUGCAUUUGUAAAAUGGGGAAAUCAUUCAGUUUGAGUUCCUCUAGAGAAGAGUCUGAAAAGGACGUGAGUGCAGGCAGUGUAUUCGGGAGGUGAUCCAGGGAGCAGGAGGGAAGCGGUGGUGAGAGUGAAACAGACAAGGAGGAGAAGCUCACAGAGUGGGGGCUAUGAAGCCCUGCCAGCUAAAUGGGCCUGUUCUGUUGGGGGGCCUUGGAGAAACUGCGAGGAACAGGCCUGGGAAUUGUCCACCUGAAGGGUGAAAGGCUUGACAUGUCUCUUUCCCCGCCCAUCCCCAUCCUUUGAUGCAAACUCCUUGCUCCUCCAGGCUGCACCUACUUUGGGGGUGAAGCCCCUUCCUCCUUCCUGAAAUUCAAGGGCACUGGAGAUGGGGAGGUGUCCAUCCUGGCAACAGCUGAGGUCAGAGGUGGGCAGAGGGGAUGUGGCUUGGGCACAUCUGCCUUGGAGAGUUCCAUUGUUAUAGGAUGGAAUGGGAGCUCGACGAGGGAGGGACUGGUCAAGACCAUAUAAAUAUAUUUUGAAUGAAUACAUAAGGACGGAAUAAAAUAAUAUUCUAAAAUGCUUAAUAAUGUAACUGAAAAUAAAACAUCAAAUGUCUUUGUUAUAAUGAUUAAUUUCUGUUUAUUAAUAGACAAGGAUGCUUUUCAAGAGGAACGGGAAUUGUUUGGGAUAAAUUUGUAACAUUUAGGCUUGUGUCUUUGCUUGGAAGAUGCGUUGUUCUGGAGAAGGUCAAAGUAGUUCUGGCCUUGAGCUACAGAAUGAAAACUCGAGUUAGGCCAGACGUCUGGGCACCCUGGAGCUUCUCUUUUGGCUUUUAGUGAAGUCACUGCCUUUAAUUCUCUCCGACACGUGGCUUGAUAGUCUUCUGAGUUGACCUGACAGUUUUAAAGCAGGAACAAUGGGAAUGUGUCAGAGAGAAUUACCUGGCGACCCCAGAUGUCCUAAAAUGGUGGUUUAAUUUGGUGACUUAUGAAAAAAAGUGCGAAAAGUUGUGAAGAUGCCCCCAGGCCAUCCAACUCAAAUCCUGCCUCAAGAUGCAAAAAAGAAAAAGUGGCAGAAAUGUUUUUUUAUCCUGUAUAUCUGCUCCUUGAACCAUCUGAACCAGCUUCAGCUAAGUUCACCAUCACAUACCUCCUGAAUGAAGGCAGAGUCCCAGAACAGAAAGAAAUGCAGAGGUGAGUGACAAGCGGUAAGGCCUUCUUGUUUUCUUGCUAGACAAGGCCCAAUGUGUAGAGCUGCUUUUUGAAAUCGCUGGUCUUGACCUGGAUACGUGACUAAAAUAAAUCUCUCUUCCCCACCUUGCCUUAGAGAAGAAGGCAGGUGAUGCCCCCUGGGGAAGCCCAUGUACCCAGGAUAUAACGAAAAGAGAAAACAAAAGCCAAUAGCUUAGAAGGAAUGGAUGGGACCGCCCAUAGACACCUUGGUGUGGCUUCCUUAGCUUUAGAAUUCCCAGACGAUACAUAGAGUCCUUCCCUCAGGGAGGGUGGCUUGGUUGAGCCCAUUCUAGCAGCCACUUUCUAGUUUCUGCAGUUGCCCAGCUAGUGUUUUCACAAUACGUGUGUCAACACCCUACUGUGUGGCCUCCCUGAAGACGGCAGAUUCUAAUUUUCAGGCAUUUGAUUUCAGGCCUGGAGAGAUGGGUGCCAGAAGCCAGCUGUCUGUUUCUUGUGAUGGAAGGUGUACAGCCCCACCCACUGACCAAAACAGACACACCUGGCUCACAGUGGCAAGAUGCAGCAUAAGAAAGCGUUUUAAACAUACAUUCGUGUGAGGUGCCUUUUCAAUAGUAACGCAUUCAGGAAGCUGAAGGUGGCUCCCGGGAUAGCUAUGUCAAGUCUAGCAUUCAAAUAUUUAGUGGCCGAGUAAUUACUGUAAUAAUUAAUUUCUGUUGCUUAAUCUAGCAAUCAGGCAUGUCGCUUUACACAUGGGAAAAUGUUGGUCCCUGUAGGAGUGUGCGUGCGUGCAUGUGUGUGUGUGUGUGUGUAUAAAAUACAUCCCAGCAAUUGCUAUUUAGUUAAGAUGUGGAGAUCAGUUUGUGGAAUAAAUGAGAUGCUUUUAGUUUUCUUUGUAGUCAUAGGUUUGGGAGAAAAGCAGAACGGAGAAUAAAGAGAACCAAAAAUUAAAUGCCCCAAACUUCAAAUGCCAUCUUUAUGAUAACUUUUACAAAGUCGGGUUUGAUCAAAUGUUACAAUUCGAAGCCUUGUAAAUGAAAAUCUGAAAGCAGCUGAUCUUACCCAAAUCCUGCCCUGGGCUUUCUAGAGCUGAACUGUUCAGUAGAAAGGUAACGUCAUUUAAAAACACACUCAAGAGAAAAAUAUUAAUCGGAUAUUUUACAUUCUUUUUUUCUUCUGAGUCUUUGACCUCUGAUAUCUACUUUGCCCUUACAGCAGUAAGUGCAAUUCAGUUAAAACUUCAGUUCCUUGGUCUUGCCACACUUCAAAUGCUCAACAGAGAUGUGACUAGAAACCUCUCUAUUGGCCAGUGCAGUGAUACAGGAUAGCGGACAGAUUCACCUCUGUGAAGCCAUCACUCAAACAGAGAUGAUGACAUUGUCAUACAAGAAAUUGACAAUGUGGUUUUGUGUAUUCAAGGAUGAUUUGACUCAAUUUAAGCAUUUAUUGGGCACCUUGAUAAGCUGAAGUGGGGAUCACAUCUUUCCCAUCCUUAAACCUUCCUUUUGCAUUAAUUUUUGUGUGUGUUGGUUUUUAUCUUCCCAGGGUGGAGUGCAUUAUAAGGACCCAGUACAUGUUGGAUGAAUGCCCAACCCCAUACGUUGGGAGAUACAGAGAAAGCCUUGAGAUUGACUAUGAACUUAAGAAUUUGCCAUCAGGAAGAAGAGGCUGUAUCAACACAAAAUGAUGGGAGAACAUCAUGUUAAAUAUGGUGAAAUGGAAGAGAGGGAAGGCAGGUGGAGCCACUGGGAGGCGAAAUGGGAAGGAGAUGCAGAGACCUGUCCCAGAGAGAGAGCAAGAAGAGGACAGCUGUCUGGCCCACUGGUGGGAAGAAAACUAAAGGCCUGGAGCCAAUAAAUGUCUUGAUUAUGAA